rnacentral:tRNA from 1 species
UGGUUAAGUGGUAGAGCGCUUGGCUUCCAAACAGGAGAGUCCGGGUUUGAAUCCUGG